rnacentral:rRNA from 1 species
CAGCCGCCACGGGAAUACGUAGGUGGCAAGCGUUGUCCGGAAUUAUUGGGCGUAAAGGGCUCGCAGGCGGUUUCUUAAGUCUGAUGUGAAAGCCCCCGGCUCAACCGGGGAGGGUCAUUGGAAACUGGGAAACUUGAGUGCAGAAGAGGAGAGUGGAAUUCCACGUGUAGCGGUGAAAUGCGUAGGGAUGUGGAGGAACACCAGUGGCGAAGGCGACCCUCUGGUCUGUAACUGACGCUGAGGAGCGAAAGCGUGGGGAGCGAGCAGGAUUAGAUACCCGUGUAGUCCCUGUCUCUUAUAC